AUAAAUGUUGAUAGAGUACCCGGCCAUCUAGGGGGUCUGAAAGGGGCAAAUCCAUCGCGAGCGUCCAUUGGCCAGGGGACAGUAAAUUCAUCCGCCCGCUUUUCAUCACGUCCGUCCGAUGCAGUAAUUUUUUGUUCACUCGUUUCCCUUCCAACUAAGUCAAUGACGUGUGGGACUGAUACAUGCGGGUCCAACGGCCAGAGGCAGCCACGCGCGAUCGUUUGUGUCGCCUUCAUUCUCCGGUCCGCGGGGCAGCGGUGAAAACCUAGAUCGCGAGCUCCCCAAUCCCGUGCUCGCCUCCACCUCCCCAAUCCCCGCCCCUCCUCUCCUCCACCCACACCACUGCAUCCCCAGCUCGGCGGCGGCGCAUCUGGUAGAAGCAAAUGGAGUAGAACGUGCGGCGAGAUCAAGGAGGGUAGAUGGCGGCGGCGACCGGAGGCGCCGGGCGCGGCCAGGGACGGGGCGACGCGGGCGGAUCCGCGACGACCGAGAGCGGCGGUGGCGGCGGCGACCGGAGGCGCCGGCGCGGCCAGGGACGGGCCGACGCGGGCGGAUCCGCGACGACCGGAGGCGGCGGUGGCGGCGGCGACCGGAGGCGACGGUCGCGGACAGAGACGGGCCGGAGUGGGGGCGGCCGCCUCAAGAGGAAGGAGCUGGGAGACCGGCGGCCGCCGCGCAUCGGCGACCUCGGCCUCCCCGCGCAUCCUCCUGGCGGAGCCACCACCGUGGCGGUGCAGAGUAGAGUGAUGAGCAGCAGGAGCUCGCCGGGCGUGUGCUCACCACCUGCGGGGGGCACGCUUCCGUCCCCCACGCCCCUCCUCCUCGUCUCGUUGUUCCUCUCUGUCAUGCAGAUGUUCAUUGCAUUGGAGAGAGAGGACAGCAAGAAUUUGUUGGAUGUUUACCCGGGAUGAUUUUUUCAUUGCAUUGGAGGGAGAGGACAACAGGAGCAAGAGAGCAAGACUUGCUGGAUGUUUGCCCUGACUAGCAGCCUGGAGGUAUGGAGGUACCUCGCAGUUUUGUUGAUGACUGGAUGCAAGGCAUGAUCAAGAGUAUGCCAGACUAUAAAUUUAUUUAGCUGAAUCCUCUUAUAUGAAGCAAGUGCAUAUAUUACAUAAGGGACAUGGAGCCACAUCCAUUGCCAAUAAGAUCAUUUUUUGCAUGGUGAGUCGUAGAUCCUCCUCAUGUUUGUUUUAUUCAACAUGAUUAUUUUCAAGUGCCUCUCUAUGAUUUGACGGUCUGGUGAUGAAUUUACGGCAGCUGUAUAUGUCCAUUUGGGCUGGGUAAUUAGUCUUUGAAACUAAGGUACUGUGAUUUGGGGUUGUAUGCAUUAUUUUCUCAAGCAGCUCCAUUUAGUUAUUGUUUGUAAAAAAGUUAUUAGUUUCAGUACAGGGUCGUAGCUUUUUGGUGGCAUUCCAAGGAAGAACACCACUUGGCUUGAGGAUCCUUCAUAGAUACCCUUCUGAAUUUCUGUCCUACUUCCAUUACUACCGCUCACUACAUUUUGAGAACAAUCCAGACUAUCAAUAGAUGUGGUGUUUCCAUUAUUCUUCUCUCAUGAAAGCCUGCAGUUCUAAAUCAUGGUUUAUAAUUCCAUUAUGGAACUUUGGAGACGGAGGUACGAUGGUGGCCAGAUGGGGUUUGAGACAAGAGGAAAGGUUGGAUGGAGCUUUGAGGGCCUCUGGUUUGGUGGCGGCAUGUGCCUAUCAUGGAGGAAGUGGUUACAAUAUCCAUUUGAAAGAUGGAGUCGGCACAAAAUAAGUUCAUGAUCUUGCCCUACCAUAAAUCCAUGUAUGUCUUGGCCUGAGUGGCGGGAUAUGGAGCAGGAGUGGCGGGAUCCAGGGUAGGACAGGCGCGAUCUUGUCGUGCUGGUCCUCCUCUUCGUUGCUGCUGCGCUGCUCCCUCCUCCUCGUGGCUGCCUCUUCUCCUCCCAUGUAGGGAGCAGACAUGCAGAUAUGGGAGAAGGUGCUCAUGGGACUCGAUGCCGAUGUCAAGGAAAAGCAAUAGCUCGUUUUAUCUAUGGCGACCUUGGCACUGAAUUAACAUGUGCCAAGCCAAAUGGCUUCUUGAAUUUAGUUACCAGUUUGAUGGACCUUUAUACACAUGGAAAAAAUAGGUGCUAUUCUACAGACAAUAUUUCGGUGUCUGACCUUUAUCCUUUUUUUUAGGUAUUUCAGUUUGAUCAUAUACUGCAGGGCACUGAUUUUGUUGCGUACUUGUUAAUGUUGAUUUGUAAUAUUCAACAAGUACAUCUAGGUUGAUACCUUCACUCCUGCAACCGAGAGAGGGCUUCCAGUCACAAGGAUUGUUAGACACAUGCCCCUGCAGGAUAUUCUUGCUCGUGUGGUUGGCGAUGUUCCUAUAAUGAGCAAUCACCAUGUAGUCGAUUUUACAGAUGCUGGCAACAAGGUGAAUGAACAGGUGCUAAUGUGGAUAUACAUUUCAUUCCAAAAAAACUCAGAGGGCUGAUUCAAUUCCAAACAUGCAGUCAAUUAUUGCUGCUUUAGAUGGGGAAAUGGUGGCUCAUGGAGAUCUGGGUGUUCAACUUCCAGUUGAUGAAGUACCUUUACUACAGUUCUCAAAGGAUAUAAGAAAGCUAGGGAGAUGCAAUCACAGGUGAUGAUAACGGUGAAGCAAUAGUUUUGUUGUUGCCGCAACCUACAAGUUAUUGCAGGGAUCUGUGUAAAUCAGGAAUGACGCUUGGUUCAGGCCAGGCGAUGGAGAAUCACUGCUGAAGGCGAUAUUGCAGCCAUCAUCAUGGCUGGUCCUAAGCUCUAGGUGAGUUCUUUUUUAGGGAAAUAAUUAUCUACUACCUUAGUUUAUUGACAUGAAUGUAUUUGUGUGACAUUGCAUUGGUACUCAAACCCGACUAAAGUGUCACUGGUAGUGCUACUUUGUUUGUGUCUUCAGCACAAGUUGGAGACUAACCGUCUAACCCAUCUUAGCCUAAUGAUCGAAAAGUGGUACUGCCAUACAUCAGGGACUAGAAAAAUGUCAUGUUUGCUUUGAUCACUAGAUAAUGCCUUAUCACUAUUUGAUUGUAGCUUCGAAUGUUUGAUUGUAGCUUCGAACCAGUGAAUAUGUUAUGAUUGCAUUGGAUCACCAAUGACAAAGUUACUACCACAUAUCAAGUUAUGCCCUGUUGUUGUUGAACAUCCAAAAGGAGAAGUUACUAAGCUGGCAGUGAGAAGACAACUUAAGAGUAUGCUAAAGCUAGAUGAACUUGCAAAGAAUGUAAAUAAAAAACAGGUUAGCAAAUCAAGCAUGCCUUCUUGGAGAGUUAUGAAACAUAGAAAGCUGACAUGUAAUUCCAGUGCUUUUUCUACAUUUAUUUACUAACUAGGGUACUUAGGUUAUGUAGUUACUUAUAUGUAGAAGACGUUAGGUCUAAAGUGAUCUCUAAGGAAAUUCAAAGAUAUGGUUGCUUAUGCUCUGAUAUCUCUAUAAUUCAUAUCCACAUGAUACCUUCUCUAUUUGCUGUUUCUCAAUGGUUUCCAUCACUAUAAUUAUGUUCUUUACAUUCAUGUUUAUGCUGGCCUUUAGGAGAAUACUGCAGUUCAUUUGAGUGCAGUGGUUUCUUUUUUAGAUCUAUGGAACUCCAAAUUGUGAGAAUUAUUUCUUAACGUCGCCUAUUAUCUUCUCUUAAUGCAUCGUCUCAAUUUGAUCAAGCAGAAGCUCUCAAACAGUGCAGCAUACAUGUAAUGUAAUAGUCAGGAAAAGAGUAGAACUAUCGGUGCCCAUACAGUCUGUCAAUUUACUAUCAGUGCCUAUGUGUUUUAUUUCUUGCUGAUCAUUACCAUGUAUUCACUUAGUGACGCAUGGUUGCAGUUCUAGCUCAGAUUCGGGCUUUGCGCCAGUGGCGUGGCGGGUCAAUAGAGAUAUUUUGCUGCAUCGACAAUAUAUUUAUACUAUGUUGUCUCCCUUUGUUCUAUCAAAUAUGCAAUUUGUCUCCAUUAAACUCCUUUUGUAUCCGGCAAAGGUGUACAAGUUUGUAGUUGGCUCGUGUCCGAAGUGUAUCAUGUAUAUGUUUUCAUAUUUUAGACACAUGGAUAUAUGAUGGAUGUCACGCUUUUGUUUCGCUUCGGCCGAGGCGCAGCGUUGCGGUCUCGAUUUCAGCUUUGCACCAGGGCGCAACAGGUAUCAUGUGGAAAUUGUUUACA